ACUGAGAUUCUCCGAUAACGGAAGAGCGGGACCUCGAUUAUUGCGGGACAUCGGGCCUGGGAGAUUUUGCAGUAGUAGAGGUAACCGACGUAACUAACGAUAGCUUCGGUUGCAUAGUGUUUACGUAAUACCUAUAGUCGGUGGCGAAUUAUGCAGAGAAACAGACGAUUAUUAUGGAUUCGGGACGAUUUUGCGUCGAGGGGAUAUUAGGCUUUUAAAUCAGAUCCUCAAGGUGGCCUGGAACAACGCGGGGAUUCUUGAUUUACGCGGGGAUACCGGAGGCGUUUCGCCGACCAGGGAAAUCGAAGAGGCAGCGAGCGAGCCUCUUAUCCUAAGCAAACAGUGUUAGAUAUUCCGAAAUUCUGAUUGGUCCGUGGAAACGUUGGUCAGACAGGCACCAUUUUGCAGAGAAAAGACCGAGGACAGCUUUACACAGGGGCGAAUUUAGAGCCAACGCUUGAAACACGCCGGAGGUUGGCUCACUGUGUGGUAAAA